rnacentral:lncRNA from 1 species
CUUAACAACUAACAAAUUAAACUAGUGAUAGAGGGGCGGGGAGAGGGGGUGGAGAGGAUAAGGGAGAAGAGAGGAGAAGAGAGGGGGGGGACUCAAGGUCGUGAUGCUUACCUAAGAUGGCUGGUGGCUGACGGUUGGCCGCCAGCCAUCCUUUCACACUGGCACCCAAUAUGUGGGAGAGGAGCGUUGAGGAUGCUAGAUGCAAUGAGAAGUCCAAGGACGACUAAUGGUGUACAUGGUUUAGGUCAGGUUAGUUUAGGGUUAUUCUUGAACCAAACCAACUUAAAUCAGUUUCCUAAAAUUGAAAUUGAUCAAACCAUCUAUAAAACUUGGUUUGGAUCAACUCGAAAAAUUUGGUUCAGUUCAAUUUGGUUUAUUAGGUUGAGUAGAGCUGGGCUAAAUGGGCUCCCCAAGGAUAACAAAGAACUCGGCUAAAUAUUCAUGGUUGGAGCCCAUAUGGACUCUAUGAAGCCAAUCCCUUGCUUCUUCAUGUGGCGUGGCAUGGCAAGUCUAGAAAACAAUGAGGUCGCCCCCACCCCACCCCCAAAAAAAAGAGGGAAAAAAAGAAAAAUCAUCUGGCAUGGUGAUGAGAUCCUUACUACCGAAAGCAAUCUUCCACAUUAAC